GGUGAGUAAUGCCUGGGAAUAUGCCUUGAUGUGGGGGAUAACUAUUGGAAACGAUAGCUAAUACCGCAUAAUGCCUACGGGCCAAAGAGGGGGAUCUUCGGACCUCUCGCGUCAAGAUUAGCCCAGGUGGGAUUAGCUAGUUGGUGGGGUAAUGGCUCACCAAGGCGACGAUCCCUAGCUGGUUUGAGAGGAUGAUCAGCCACACUGGAACUGAGACACGGUCCAGACUCCUACGGGAGGCAGCAGUGGGGAAUAUUGCACAAUGGGGGAAACCCUGAUGCAGCCAUGCCGCGUGUAUGAANAANGCCUUCGGGUUGUAAAGUACUUU
rnacentral:rRNA from 1 species